rnacentral:rRNA from 1 species
UCAAGUGACGUGGCGGCUGGCGCGGUAUUCGGGAGGGCGCGAGGUUUGUCGGGGAUUAGUGGGCGUGAAGAGCUCGCGGGCGGCUUGGCGCGUCGGGUGUGGAAGCCCGGGGCUGAACCCCGGGUAUGCAUUCGAUACGGGCAGGCUAGAGUUCGGUAGGGGAGAUCGGAAUUCCUGGGGUAGCGGUGAAAUGCGCAGAUAUCAGGAGGAACACCGGUGGCGAAGGCGGAUCUCUGGGCCGAUACUGACGCUGAGGAGCGAAAGCGUGGGGAGCGAACAGGAUUAGAUACCCGGGUAGUC